CCCAACAUCAGUGCAUUAACCACAUCCGUACCUAACAAUAACAGAAUAUAAGGGUUACUGACCCUGGCCCCAGCCACAUUGAGAAGAGACACCGCGUUGAACUUACUCCUGCCUUACCUCCACCUUUAGGUAAACCCUUUCUGCCAACCCAGUCAUGUAAACAUUGUGGGCAAAACCAUGCCACCGCGUAAACAAUGCCUACUAUAAGUAUGGCAGCACUCAACACUUUGUGAGGGAUUGCCCUCAAAAUCCCCGUAACAUUAUAAGGCCCAUAACAAAGGAAGAAUCUU
rnacentral:lncRNA from 1 species